GACGAACGCUGGCGGCGUGCUUAACACAUGCAAGUCGAACGGAAAGGCCCUGCUUUUGUGGGGUGCUCGAGUGGCGAACGGGUGAGUAACACGUGAGUAACCUGCCCUUGACUUUGGGAUAACUUCAGGAAACUGGGGCUAAUACCGGAUAGGAGCUCCUGCUGCAUGGUGGGGGUUGGAAAGUUUCGGCGGUUGGGGAUGGACUCGCGGCUUAUCAGCUUGUUGGUGGGGUAGUGGCUUACCAAGGCAUUGACGGGUAGGCGGCCUGAGAGGGUGACCGGGCACAUUGGGACUGAGAGACGGCCCAGACUCCUACGGGAGGCAGCAGUGGGGAAUAUUGCACAAUGGGCGGAAGCCUGAUGCGACAACGCCGGGUGCGGGAUGACGGCCUUCGGGGUGUAAACCGGUUUUGGCUGUGACGAAGCGUUAGUGACGGUAAUGGGUAAAGAAGCACCGGCUAACUACGUG
rnacentral:rRNA from 1 species